GGAGUCGAGCGGUAAGGCCCUUCGGGGUACACGAGCGGCGAACGGGUGAGUAACACGUGGGUGAUCUGCCUUGCACUUCGGGAUAAGCCUGGGAAACUGGGUCUAAUACCGGAUAUGACCCCGAAUCGCAUGGUUUGGGGUGGAAAGAUUUAUCGGUGCGAGAUGGGCCCGCGGCCUAUCAGCUUGUUGGUGAGGUAACGGCUCACCAAGGCGACGACGGGUAGCCGACCUGAGAGGGUGACCGGCCACACUGGGACUGAGACACGGCCCAGACUCCUACGGGAGGCAGCAGUGGGGAAUAUUGCACAAUGGGCGCAAGCCUGAUGCAGCGACGCCGCGUGCGGGAUGACGGCCUUCGGGUUGUAAACCGCUUUUGACAGGGACGAAGCGCAAGUGACUGUACCUGUAGAAUAAGGACCGGCCAACUACGUGCCAGCAGCCGCGGUAAUACGUAGGGUCCGAGCGUUGUCCGGAAUUACUGGGCGUAAAGAGCUUGUAGGCGGUUCGUCGCGUCGUUUGUGAAAACUUGGGGCUCAACCUUAAGCUUGCAGGCGAUACGGGCGGACUAGAGUACUUCAGGGGAGACUGGAAUUCCUGGUGUAGCGGUGAAAUGCGCAGAUAUCAGGAGGAACACCGGUGGCGAAGGCGGGUCUCUGGGAAGUAACUGACGCUGAGAAGCGAAAGCAUGGGUAGCAAACAGGAUUAGAUACCCUGGUAGUCCAUGCCGUAAACGGUGGGUACUAGGUGUGGGGCUCCUUCCACGGACUCCGUGCCGUAGCUAACGCAUUAAGUACCCCGCCUGGGGAGUACGGCCGCAAGGCUAAAACUCAAAGAAAUUGACGGGGGCCCGCACAAGCGGCGGAGCAUGUGGAUUAAUUCGAUGCAACGCGAAGAACCUUACCUGGGUUUGACAUACACCGGAAACCUGCAGAGAUGUAGGCCCCCUUGUGGUCGGUGUACAGGUGGUGCAUGGCUGUCGUCAGCUCGUGUCGUGAGAUGUUGGGUUAAGUCCCGCAACGAGCGCAACCCUUAUCUUAUGUUGCCAGCGCGUAAUGGCGGGGACUCGUGAGAGACUGCCGGGGUCAACUCGGAGGAAGGUGGGGACGACGUCAAGUCAUCAUGCCCCUUAUGUCCAGGGCUUCACACAUGCUACAAUGGCCGGUACAGAGGGCUGCGAUACCGCGAGGUGGAGCGAAUCCCUUAAAGCCGGUCUCAGUUCGGAUCGGGGUCUGCAACUCGACCCCGUGAAGUUGGAGUCGCUAGUAAUCGCAGAUCAGCAACGCUGCGGUGAAUACGUUCCCGGGCCUUGUACACACCGCCCGUCACGUCAUGAAAGUCGGUAACACCCGAAGCCGGUGGCCUAACCCCUUGUGGAGGAGCC
rnacentral:rRNA from 1 species